rnacentral:rRNA from 1 species
GAUGAACGCUAGCGGCAGGCUUAAUACAUGCAAGUCGAGGGGCAGCAGGACUGUAGCAAUACAGUUGCUGGCGACCGGCAAACGGGUGCGGAACACGUACGCAACCUACCCAAAACUGGGGGAUAGCCCGGGGAAACCCGGAUUAAUACCUCGUAACCUUUUUAAGUGGCAUCACUUGAUAAGUAUAGCUCCGGCGGUUUUGGAUGGGCGUGCGCCUGAUUAGGUAGUUGGUGCGGGUAACGGCCCACCAAGCCUGCGAUCAGUAACUGGUGUGAGAGAACGACCAGUCACACGGGGACUGAGACACGGGCCCGACUCCUACGGGAGGAAGCAGUAAGGAAUAUUAGUCAAUGGACGCAAGUCUGAACCAGCCAUGCCGCGUGAAGGAUGAAGGUCCUCUGGAUUGUAAACUUCUUUUAUGGGGGACGAAACCCGGAUAUUCUUAUCCGAUUGACGGUACCUCAGGAAUAAGCACCGGCUAACUACGU